rnacentral:tRNA from 1 species
GCCGGAAUGGCGGAAUGGUAGACGCGCACGUCUCAGAAGCGUGUGGGAGCAAUCCCGUGGAGGUUCAAGUCCUCUUUUCGGCA